CCCCUAGACGUUCUGGGCCGCACGCGCGCUACAAUAAUACGCACAGCGAGUAUCACCGAGCUCGAAAGGGCAAGGUAAACAAUAGAAAAGGUACUGUAAUGGUUAUAGAUCCUUGUAAUUAUUGAUCUUCAACGAGGAAUUCCUAGUAAGUAUGUGUCAUCAUCACGCACUGAUUACGUCCCUGCCCUUUGUACACACCGCCCGUCGCUCCUACCGAUUGGGUGAGCCGAUGAAACUCUCGGAUGUAGGCUAUUCAUAGCCCGCAGAAGAGAUUUGAAUCGUAGCGCUUAGAGGAAGGAGAAGUCGUAACA
rnacentral:rRNA from 1 species